GCUGAGAUCGCGUCCUGCCCCGCUCGCUGGGGUGGCCCCGGCAGAACUCAUUUGACGUUCUCCGAACACCUCCCCUCUUCCUCAUCUAAUCACGGAGCAACCACGCUGUCAGGUGAAGCACGGCCAGGUUGGAGUGAAGGAGGCAUCCCCCUUCCUGGGAGAGGAGAUCCGGACAAAGCAGCAGCCUCCACGGAGGAGCCGCUAAGAGUUGCAGGAGGGUCUCGUACCAGUGUUGAUGGGCCCAUUCCGGGGCUUUGAGGAUGACCUGCGUCCUGUCUGCUUUUACUUUUUGCAGGACUUUGCCUAUCGGGGGAAUGGUGGGAAGGCAUAGAAAAGUUGGCCCGAUCACUGAAGGAGGAAGGCAUCUGAGAUUGUCCCCCCUUCCCUCCCCUUCCCUGGAGCAGAACUGGGGGCAGCAUUGGUUCUGGGCAGUUGCAAAGAGGUCGACCCAGGGAACUCCCCACUCUCGGAAGAGCUGUAGGGCGACCUCCCAGUGGAGUGACCACUUGUACUGGUGAGAAAAAAUCCUGCUGAGGUGAUUGGAUUGCACAUUGUGGGUGCCAGGCCGAGAUCUGUACAUGUGGACAGAAGAAGUUCCACCUGGCCCUGUAUAUGGGACCAAGAAUUGCCCUUGAGACGCCAAUCGCCCAGGUGGACAUCAGUUUGGUCCACAAACAACGCUUUCUCGUCAAAGGGAAGGUCCUGCAUCAAGGACUGGGACUCUGUGGACAGUCCGGACAGGAGAAGCCACAACGCCCUGCGCAUGGAUAUGGCAGAGGCCAUCGAACGGGCUGCUGUGUCUGCUGUGUUUGAUGCCGCCUGGAGGGCUGCUUUUGCCGCUGACACUCCUUCCUCUACCAGAGCCCUUAACUCCUUUUUGUCCCGCUCUGGAAGGAGAGGUUCGAACUUUGGUAGGGACCUGCCUGAAUUGAAGUCUUAUCAACUUAGAAGAGCUUGGUGAUUGGCCACCCUGAGCUGGAAACUGGCCGAGGAAUAAACCUCCCUGCUAAACAUG